AGUGAACGCUGGCGGUAGGCCUAACACAUGCAAGUCGAACGGCAGCACAGUAAGAGCUUGCUCUUACGGGUGGCGAGUGGCGGACGGGUGAGGAAUACAUCGGAAUCUACUUUUUCGUGGGGGAUAACGUAGGGAAACUUACGCUAAUACCGCAUACGACCUACGGGUGAAAGCAGGGGAUCUUCGGACCUUGCGCGAUUGAAUGAGCCGAUGUCGGAUUAGCUAGUUGGCGGGGUAAGGCCCACCAAGGCGACGAUCCGUAGCUGGUCUGAGAGGAUGAUCAGCCACACUGGAACUGAGACACGGUCCAGACCCCUACGGGAGGCAGCAGUGGGGAAUAUUGGACAAUGGGCGCAAGCCUGAUCCAGCCAUACCGCGUGGGUGAAGAAGGCCUUCGGGUUGUAAAGCCCUUUUGUUGGGAAAGAAAAGCAGCAGGUUAAUACCCCGCUGUUCUGACGGUACCCAAAGAAUAAGCACCGGCUAACUUCGUG
rnacentral:rRNA from 1 species